ensembl:lncRNA LINC00700 long intergenic non-protein coding RNA 700
AGACACAGGCAAAGUGCCUGUAAAUAAACCCUGAGUGGGCAACAUGAAUGGCCGCAGACCAGACAAAAUGAGAAUCCAGUUAAACAAGUGCAUGAAAUAUGCCCCUUAGUCCACUCAGCCUGCAACACAAAAGCACAGAACAGGCAGCUUCUAAACCACAGACAUUGACUUCCGUUCUGGAGGCCGGAAGUCCAAGAUGGAGGGUCCCGCAGAUUCCGUGUCUGAAACAUUGGCAAAAUCAUCUUCAUUGUUCAUAGAUUGUUGCAGCAGAUCCAACUGAAGGAUACACCAACCAUUUUAAUCGGACACAAAAGAACAGGCUGUCCUCACCUGACCACCACCCACAACAACCGAACUUUAAUCAGACACAAAAGAACAGGCUGUCACCUGACCACCACCCACAACAACCGAAGGGCAGGGUGAGUCCAUUUAGAGUCUCGAGAAUUUCAGACGUGCAUUCACUUUAAAGAAAUACAACUUAAAAAUGGAAUUCACAUUUUUAAAACAGAACUUUAAAUUCCAUUUUACUUCGAGCCUAUCAGUAUUUUCUGAAAUGUGUCUAGAGUGCACCAGAAGUGUGAUUUGAAGAGGACAAAUGGUUUUCUAGCUCCAGAGUGGUUAAAAUAUAAUCUGGGUAAGUAAGGAGAAAUGGAAGUGCCUAACGAAUCCAACGUGUGAGAAAAGCUGGUGAAGACAAUUCAUGGGGGAUUUGAUGCUCUGUGUAAAACAGAGAAGGAAGAAAGCCAUUUAGUUGUGAAGGAGGCCCUUCGCAAAUACCAGCAAAGGCAGCCCAGGACAGGGACGCUGGCCAACCUCUGCUAGAAUCACGUUGCUGCUAGAUAAUGCAAUGCACAAAUAAAGUAACAGAUCCAAU